CCUACGGGAGGCAGCAGUGGGGAAUAUUGGACAAUGGGGGCAACCCUGAUCCAGCCAUGCCGCGUGUGUGAAGAAGGCCCUCGGGUUGUAAAGCACUUUCAGUGAGGAAGAACGCCUGGUGGUUAAUACCCAUCAGGAAAGACAUCACUCACAGAAGAAGCACCGGCUAACUCCGUGCCAGCAGCCGCGGUAAUACGGAGGGUGCGAGCGUUAAUCGGAAUUACUGGGCGUAAAGCGCGCGUAGGUGGCUUGAUAAUCCGGUUGUGAAAGCCCCGGGCUCAACCUGGGAACGGCAUCCGGAACUGUCAAGCUAGAGUGCAGGAGAGGAAGGUAGAAUUCCCGGUGUAGCGGUGAAAUGCGUAGAGAUCGGGAGGAAUACCAGUGGCGAAGGCGGCCUUCUGGACUGACACUGACACUGAGGUGCGAAAGCGUGGGUAGCAAACAGGAUUAGAUACCCCGGUAGUC
rnacentral:rRNA from 1 species